rnacentral:rRNA from 1 species
CUCCCCUUCAUUCAAAAAACUUGAUCUGAAAUCAGGGGGGAUUACCCGCUGAACUUAAGCAUAUCAAAA